rnacentral:rRNA from 1 species
AUUGAACGCUGGCGGCAGGCCUAACACAUGCAAGUCGAGCGAGCGGCGGACGGGUGAGUAAUGUAUGGGGACUGCCCGAUGGAGGGGGAUAACUACUGGAAACGGUAGCUAAUACCGCAUACUAUCGGAUAACCCAUAUGGGAUUAGCUAGUAGGUGAGGUAAUGGCUCACCUAGGCGACGAUCCCUAGCUGGUCUGAGAGGAUGAUCAGCAACAGUGGGAAUGAGAACAGGGCCAGACUCCUACGGAGGGAGCAGUGGGGAAUAGUGGACAAGGGGCGGAAGCCCUAUGUAAGCAGGCCGCGGGUAGGAAGAAGGGCCUAGGGGUGUAAAGGACUUUCCGUCGGGAGGCGGUACCGACAUAAGAAGCACCGGCUAACUCCGGGCCAGGAGCCGCGGGAAUUC